GGAUUUGUCGUUUAAUGGGAAGACCGUAGGUUGCUUUGCAUCCUGAUGAUGUCGGUUCGAGACCGGUCCAAAUCCA
rnacentral:tRNA from 1 species